UGCGCAGGGGCACCCAGAUUCGAAUCUGUAGAAUCAAUUGGAGAAUCCCCAUCCGCACCCGAAUUGGCUAAAUCUAGUAUAGUAAGUAGGUGUUGUUCCGAUGCGGGAAUCCAUUUUUUUUUAAUUAAAGAGAUAAGGCUGCAAGAAGAACCUAGAGAGGAGGCUUCACCGAAAGAAGAAGAAAGAAAAAAAACUCGAGUUUCUGGAAAUGUUUUAAGGGGGAGGGAAGAGGAAAAUUCAGAAAAAGAGAAAAAAAAAAGAAGAAGAUUGAAUGAAUUACCCCGAACCUGCCUCCGCCGCCGUCGCACGAACCAUUUAUGAUGGCCGCGUCUAGGUGGAUUGUGGUGCUACCAUUCCUUUAGGAUACCUUUCGGCUUCAGUAAAAACUCUUCCCCCUUAGUUUUUAUAGAUAUUGAGUUUGUACGGUAAUUCAACUUUGAGUAUGGAAUUUACUUUGUUGGUUGAUUGGAGUUACGGUAGUUCAAUCUAUAAAGGAAGGACAAUCGAUCGCACUUGGCGCAGAACCACCUAAAGGUGGCUCUUUAUUCCCUCAAGACUUGCUUCUUAUUUUUCUUUCACCCUUUAUCCUAUCCCCUUUUAUAUCAAUAGGGAGCUACGAGCAAGGCAGCUCUGCUCCAGAAAGAAAAGAAGCCAGCAGGUCCUUUUCCGCUUGAUCGCUAACUCAUGGGCAAAGCCGUCUUUUGCCGCCCCUCAUGCAGCAUAUGAGCGGAUCUUCACUAAAACCGGCUCUAUUGGUGGAUGGAUAGCACCCCUCACUCUGCCAUGAGAACAAAGAAAGCCACACUAUCUCCUUGCAGCUUUGCCUGCCGCCCUUCGGUAGUAUAGUAGGAUAGAUAGCAAAGCCGCCUUCGGCCCUUCGCUUAGUAAGCCCCUCUUCGAGCCUCUACUGAAUUCCGCUCGCCCCGGUCCUUAGUAGCGUUGACAAAGUAAACUCCUUGCUUGUGUCGUUGACAAAGGAGAACAGCCCCCCUGUUGUUGAUAGAGAGCUUACUACCCCGCCCUUUAUAGUCGCGACUGUUGUCAUGGAAAAAGAGUUUGUUUUUUGUCAAAGAAGCAUGCUUAACACAGCCUAUAGCGUAAAGGCAUUCGAGCUGCGUCUAAACAAAAUUAAGGUAAGGGCCUGUACUCUCUCUUCUGUAGAUACGCUAUCCCUUUUUCUAUGGUAUGGGGGAAGGGAAGUGAGAUCUACCGAUUGAUUUGAUAUUAGAUGAGCGGCCGU
rnacentral:lncRNA from 1 species